AGUUGGUCGACAUGCCUAUAGGACGACCAAAGGCAUUCUUGUAAGUUGCACAAUGAGCUAUUGUAAUUACACUUUUUCCGACUGUAUACUUUUUAUUAGGUGUCAGCUACAAACCACUCCAAGUGGCUUUUUACUGCACCGCACAAAAUCAUAGUAUCUGGAAAUAUCCGUUCAACCUCCACAAAACCGUCUACUCAAAUUCUACAAACUUCCAGAAGAAACUCUUUUAGUUCUCUUCAUCUUAUCAAUUGGUUGAUACAAGUUCAGGUUUGACUCUGUGUUGCAGUAAUUUUGUACAUAUGCAUGUUCAGUUUGUUUGAUUUAAGCAAUGCCAAAUGCUUUAGGCGAUGCUCACAGAAAAAUAAGCAGUCUUGAAUCUCUGUUUUGCUAUGAUAAAUCUGUACCCGAGGAAAGAAUUGAGAAGCCAACUGGAUUGUCCUUGGCCAAGAAGAAUACUGGAGAUAAUCCUCAUUGUCCCGAGUGUGAAGCAAAAGGUGCUGUCCUUUGUGCUAACUGCUCGGGUUCGGGCCUAUAUGUUGAUUGUAUAAUGGAAAGCCAGGGGAUAAUUGUCAAAGUUAGAUGCUUAGGUUGUGGAGAUUCUGGUAACAUAAUGUGCUUAGAAUGUGGAGGACGAGGUCAUCUCUGACUUUCUUGAUCUGACUGGUUUGAUCUUGUGCCUGUUUGUCAUGAUAUAGGCUUUGGCUUUGUCAGGUAGCGUGAAAACGCAGAGUUAGUUGCACACAUUUAAGAAUAGCUGAUUCAAAGUUAGCUUUGUGUAUCAUUUAAUUGUUUUUUCUGUCCUUGGAAAAAUAAUGUUAUCAUUUAAAUACAACUAGAUUUCCUUU